AACGAACGCUGGCGGCAGGCUUAACACAUGCAAGUCGAACGCCCCGCAAGGGGAGUGGCAGACGGGUGAGUAACGCGUGGGAAUCUACCGUACCCUACGGAAUAGCUCCGGGAAACUGGAAUUAAUACCGUAUACGCCCUACGGGGGAAAGAUUUAUCGGGGUAUGAUGAGCCCGCGUUGGAUUAGCUAGUUGGUGGGGUAAAGGCCUACCAAGGCGACGAUCCAUAGCUGGUCUGAGAGGAUGAUCAGCCACAUUGGGACUGAGACACGGCCCAAACUCCUACGGGAGGCAGCAGUGGGGAAUAUUGGACAAUGGGCGCAAGCCUGAUCCAGCCAUGCCGCGUGAGUGAUGAAGGUCUUAGGAUUGUAAAGCUCUCUCACCGAUGAAGAUAAUGACGGUAGUCGGAGAAGAAGCCCCGGCUAACUUCGUGCCAGCAGCCGCCGUAACAC
rnacentral:rRNA from 1 species